rnacentral:rRNA from 1 species
CUGCCUUCGGACGGGGACAACAGUUGGAAACGACUGCUAAUACCCGAUGUGCCGAGAGGUAAAAUAUUUAUCGCCUGGAGAGGAGCUCGCGUCCGAUUAGCUAGUUGGGGGGGUAAAAGCUCACCAAGGCAACGAUCGGUAGCUGGUCUGAGAGGAUGAGCAGCCACACUGGGACUGAGACACGGCCCAGACUCCUACGGGAGGCAGCAGUGGGGAAUUUUCCGCAAUGGGCGAAAGCCUGACGGAGCAAUACCGCGUGAGGGAAGAAGGCUUUUGGGUUGUAAACCUCUUUUCUCAAGGAAGAAAAAAUGGCCGGUCCUUGAGAAAAAACCUUGGCUAAAUUCGUGCCCACCGCCCGGGUUAUUCCGAAGAAGCCAGCCUUUUUCCGAAUUAUUGGGCCUAAACCUUCCGCCAGUGGGACAUUCAGUUCGGUUGUCAAAGACAGGGCCUAACUUUGGGGAAGGCAGAGAAAACUGAGAACUUAGAAUUACGGUAGGGGUAGAGGGAAUUCCCAUUGUACCGGUGAAUGCUUAGAAGUUGGGA